CCUACGGGAGGCAGCAGUGAGGAAUAUUGGUCAAUGGUCGGGAGACUGAACCAGCCAAGCCGCGUGAGGGAUGAAGGUACAGAGUAUCGUAAACCUCUUUUGUCAGGGAACAAAGGCGGGGACGCGUCCCCGGAUGAGUGUACCUGAAGAAAAAGCAUCGGCUAACUCCGUGCCAGCAGCCCCGGUACUACGGAGGAUGCGAGCGUUAUCCGGAUUUAUUGGGUUUAAGGGGUGCGCAGGCGGUCUGUUAAGUCAGCGGUAAAAGCCCGGGGCUCAACCCCGGCCCGCCGUUGAAACUGGCAGUCUCGAGUUGGAGAGAAGUAUGCGGAAUGCGCGGUGUAGCGGUGAAAUGUAUAGAUAUCGCGCAGAACUCCGAUUGCGAAGGCAGCAUGCCGGCUCCACACUGACGCUGAGGCACGAAAGUGUGGGUAUCGAACAGGAUUAGAUACCCCGGUAGUC
rnacentral:rRNA from 1 species